AACCUCCCGGGAUCACAUCUGGAGAGACCCUCAUGUCCUGCCAGCUUCGGAAGCAGGAGGGAAAGCAAGCCUAGCAGAGGGACCCAUUCCGUUCCCCGCUUGUUCUGUAGUGGUGAUUGGAAGACACUCUGCAACAAGU
ensembl:snoRNA